GUUCUGGAAAAAGGUCUUAUCCAGUUAGCCCCCGAUCCCCCUUUCCUCAUCUUAGAACGGCGGUGGCGAAGAAGCACAUGAGCACACCGGCGUCGACGCCAAAAAGGUCGACGGGAAGGUGGCACAGGAGGGGCUUAGCGAGAAGGUUGGCCGGAGAACCGGAGCAGUUGCGCCCCGUCCCCUCCUCCCCCUUUCUCGGAGCUGGAGCUAUGCCGUCGGCGGCGGCGGCGGCGUUGAGGGUGCCUGGUUUCGUCGUCGUCGAGGUACAUACAUGGUCCUCUUGCGAGCGCGAUUUUCCUCCCCUGCCGUCACCGCCAGCUGCUCUCCCCCGUCGUCCGAUCCCAUGGGCGCGCCCUGGUCUAGGCGUGUCGACGGCGAUGCUGCGUCUGUCGUGUCGCCGGAGUACCUGCGGCGCCGCGGAGAGGCCCGACAACCGCAGCUUCCGCUUCGCCGCCGCCGACCAACUCUCGAGCUUCAGCCGACCCCAACGUGAGAACCUUCAGGUUGCUGUGUGCGCAUCCAAAGCCGUCGUGCAGCCACAACAGGGUUUUUGAUAGUAGCCCUGGAUUGCAUGAGAGGGCAGGACCAGAGCUCACCCCGCCGGUGGGGUCAUGCGACGAGCCGGGGCGAAGAACACCUUCAUCGACAUGAUGGCAUCCCCCAAUCAAUCUAGUACAUCGGGUGCUCUGAGCAAACUCCUUCUACAUUUCUGCUUCGUCUCCAAGGGUGCAGGUUGUGGGAUAGCGGCCCGUGUGCAACUACCAUAAGAGCACACUGACAGUGAGCAUCUCCAAGAGCAAGGGUGGAGAGGACGCUGCAGCUCAAGGGGGGCCUCACUAGGUGAAGUGAAGCUCGGCCACUGUUUCUUCCUCUAGUGAAGCUUGGCCACCGUUUCCCCAAAUCCACAAGACUGCUCCACCCCGGCCGAGCCAGCUGCAAGGGAUGGCCGGAGGGCUGCUGCGAGAGCUGACUGGAGACGGCGCAGCUUCACCGCCACACGUAUCUCGCUGCUAGCAGCAGGGAGACGGCGAAGUACACAAGCAGCAGAGCAACGACGAGAUCUACGAGCGGCCGACCUGGACGAGGAGGGUAGCAACCAGACGAGGGGCAUGCCUGGGCCGCCGUGCUAUCUUACGGCUGCACGAGGCCUCUGACGGCAGGGUCGCGAUAGCUGGACCUCGGCGCCCUCCUGCCUGGCCAAGCCCCAGUAGCAAAACCAAAGGUCAAUUACUUCUUGUUACCUAGAACUAAUUUAUUCCUUUCUUCAUCAUUAGUUCAUACCGUACUGCUGCUAUUUCUCGAUGUCACAGGCGUGAAAGCAUAGCAAGAGAGAGCUGAGCAUGUCAUUGGAAUAUUUAAAAGUGAUAAGUACUCAACAGAUCAUUGUUGCAAUUAAAUGUAACUAAACUGAUUGUUCUGUCUUCGGAAACUAGGAGUCAAUUGAAAUUAAACCAAUUGAAGUAA